rnacentral:rRNA from 1 species
GAUGAACGCUGGCGGCGUGCCUAAUACAUGCAAGUCGAGCGAACAGACGAGGAGCUUGCUCCUCUGACGUUAGCGGCGGACGGGUGAGUAACACGUGGAUAACCUACCUAUAAGACUGGGAUAACUUCGGGAAACCGGAGCUAAUACCGGAUAAUAUAUUGAACCGCAUGGUUCAAUAGUGAAAGACGGUUUUGCUGUCACUUAUAGAUGGAUCCGCGCCGCAUUAGCUAGUUGGUAAGGUAACGGCUUACCAAGGCGACGAUGCGUAGCCGACCUGAGAGGGGGAUCGGCCACACUGGAACUGAGACACGGUCCAGACUCCUACGGGAGGCAGCAGUAGGGAAUCUUCCGCAAUGGGCGAAAGCCUGACGGAGCAACGCCGCGUGAGUGAUGAAGGUCUUCGGAUCGUAAAACUCUGUUAUUAGGGAAGAACAAAUGUGUAAGUAACUAUGCACGUCGUGACGGUACCUAAUCAGAAAGCCACGGCUAACUACGUG